AGACAUCAUUUCCUUUUCUCUUCCCACAGAGACACUCUCACAUUAAUGGCUACGGCGAUUGGAUCUGGACGGAAACCCCAUAAAACCAAUCACCAUCUACAUGAUAGGUGCCAGUGGCUUCAUUGGGUGUCACCUCUGCGAGAAGCUCAUGAAUGAAACUCCUCACAAGGUUUUUGCUUUGCAACAACGGCAAAACCAAACACCUUCUUGAAACGCGACACGCUCCCCUGUGCUGGUCGCAUCCAAUUCUAUUGCCUUAACAUCGAUUCUCGACUUGAGAGUCUCAUCAAGAUUGCAGAUCUGGUUUCACUCUUUAUCUUAUAAAAAUGCAAUCUUUUUUGUUUUUGUUUGAGACACAAUUGGGUUCCCGCGGAUUACAACACUCGCCCUCUCGACACCAUUUACAACAACUUUAUCUUGAGAGUCUCGUCAAGAUUGCAGAUCUGGUUUCACUCUCUGUUCGUUCCAUCAUAAAAAUGCAAUCUUUUUUCUUUUCCAACCAAUAACGUGGCUGUUCGUUUCAUCUUGAGUUUUUUUUCUUUCAUAAUGUUGUUUCAUUGUGGUGUUAGGAUCCUGCAUACUACGUAGUGAAGGAGGAUGAGUCUCCUUAUUUUUUGGUUCGAUUGAAAAGCAGAGAUGGUCAUACUAAGCUGUUUUCUAUUUACUCUUUGUGUAAAGACUUAAAAUAAUUUCAUGAAUUGAUUUUUGUCUCACUGAGAUGGUGUUGUUGACAGCUGAGGGCGGUUAAAAUGGAUUGUAAUUCACAAUUGGAGUCCUUUUAAUUGGAUUGGACCACGAAUGGAUUUCAUUCCCGGCAUUGAUGGUCCAAGUGAGGGUGUUCCUCGGGUUCUGUCAUGCUCUAAUAAAUCUCCUCUGUGGUUGGCCAAUCCCAGAGAACCUUUGUGUAUAUUAAGGAUGCUACUGAAGCUCUGUCUUCUUGAUGAUUGUAGGUUCCCAUAUCCUUAAUGUGACUUUAUGAUUUUAAGUGCAUAUUAUUUGAUUGCAGAAGUUCAUCUUUGAAC